GAGCGAUGAUGAAAAGGUUUUACUACUGAACUUUGUAACCAAGACUUUUUUUUUACAUUUGACUCA
rnacentral:snoRNA from 1 species